AUGACGGUGACCUGGAAGGCAGACAGCAACCCUGCCACCCAAGGUGUGGAGGCCACCAAGUCCUCCAAACAGAGAAAAGACAAGUAUGUGGUCAGCAGCUACCUGCCCCUGACACCUGAACAGUGGUCAUCGUGCAGCAACUAUAGCUGCCAGGUAACGCACAAAGAGAGGACUGUGGAGAAGACAGUGGCCCGAGGCUUUUUGUAUGGGGCUGAAUCACUGUGUGAUUUGUUUGGCGGUGGCACCCGGUUGACCGUCCUUGGUCAACCCAAGGCCUCCCCCUCAGUCACUCUGUUCACGCCGUCCCCUGAGGAGCUCCAAACCAACAAAGCCACACUGGUGUGUCUCAUCAAUGACUUUUACCCAAGUGUAUUGACAGUGAACUGGAAGGCAAACGGAUCCCCCGUCACUCAGGGUGUGGAGACCACCAUGCCCUCAAAACAGAGCAACAACAAGUAUGCUGCCAGUAGCUAUCUGAGCUUAUCACCUGAAGAGUGGAGACGUCAGGGUUCAUACACCUGCCAAGUCACGCAUGAAGGAAGCACCACGGAGAAGACAGUGGUCCCUGCACAGUGUUCUUAGGUCCUGGACCUCCCCCAUCCCAGGGAGUUUAGAGCUUGGGAGCCCAGGGGAAGAUCUUCCUCCAUGCCACGUUGUCCGCCUUACUCCCUGCACUCAAUCACCCUCAAUAAAUAUCCUCACUGUCAAGCAGAAA